GGAAAUGCUGCAGUAAUUUUGAACUCAUCAACGGAACCUGUCGAGCUUGUGAGACAGGAUUUUGGGGCGUUAACUGCAGCAUGAUGUGUAGCUAUCCCAAUUAUGGAGAGUUGUGUAUUGAAUCGUGCUCUACUAAGGCCUUAAACUGUACAAAAGAGGACUGUGAUCCUGUGUCAGGAUGCAAAUUAAAAAAGAUCUCGGUGACAUCGUACGUAGCACAGAACGUUAGAACAUCCUCAUCACAAGAUACUUCAACGCAGGGAAACAAUCACCACAACGCUA